UCCUACGGGAGGCAGCAGUGGGGAAUAUUGGACAAUGGGCGAAAGCCUGAUCCAGCCAUGCCGCGUGAGUGAUGAAGGCCUUAGGGUUGUAAAGCUCUUUCAGUGGGGAAGAUAAAGAGGGUACCCACAGAAGAAGCCCCGGCUAACUUCGUGCCAGCAGCCGCGGAUAAU
rnacentral:rRNA from 1 species